rnacentral:lncRNA from 1 species
GUUUCUUUCAGCUCAUUUCUUUAAUAAGGAGACGCAGUUCAUUACAAAAUAACAAUUUGACAAGAGAUCAGACAAGAACAAGAGUCCACAUAAGGGAGAUGGAGAGCAUUGCCAAGCAGAAGUGGGAAUGAGAGGGCCGGGGGCAAGGGCUGUACAUGUGUCCUUCCUAUGGAGACGAAGGCAGGGCUCCUGGUGGGCUGACCUUGGCGAAGCUAGGCUCUGCCAGGCCCUGAUUUUGAAGUUUUCAGCCCCAGGGUUUUCAGAAAGCAGCAAAUCAAGUCCUUAGAUGGGCAGGAGUCAGGGCAGAAGGGUCACUAUCUUUGAAGAGGCCCCCCUAAAGUCCUGAUCGCUAAGGCAGGUGGGAUGGAGGAACUCCUGGUGCCCCAUGCACACUGCUCCCAUCACCUCACCAGACAGAUGCUCUCUCAACUCUUGCCUCAAUUUGUCUCUGCUGUGGGUGUGGAGAGUGGGAGGGCCCCAGAGAGAGCUGGAGGAAGCAAGACAUGUCUUCACUGGUCCAAGCACCUGAUUCCAGCCUGCUCUGAAAUGGUCCCCUCCACCUUCCCCACUCUUUCAGUUCCCAGCACAAAGGUCCCUGGGACUUCUGUGUGCAACUUCUGUUGUGGUUUGUGCAGGGCAAGCCUGCCUCGCCACCUCUGGCCUCCUCGAAUGCGCCCUGCCUGAUUCCCUUCCCGUUCUCUCUCCUUCCUCAUACUUGUCACAGUUGCCAGGCCUGAGGCAUCCUGGGCUCUUCCCAUGCAGUACUGCCCUCAGGUGCCCAUGGGGCCAGGGGCCGCAGGCAGGGGGGCUACCUGUCCCUCUCAGUUCAACAGGAUGACCUGGGGCCUUGGAAGCCCCCAGGCCCCUCUACUCACCUCUGCUACUUGGUGCAACUGGCUGGGGCUUCUCUGGGGAGCAGGUGUGAAGGUCAGGGGACUUAGUCCACACCUGCUCUGCCUGAGCCUCUCUCACAGCUGAACCUGCCCACCCCACUCUCAGGGGAUCGCUGGUAGCCCUGAGGUUGCCCCGCUAUUGGGCUGCUUUCUGUCAGACUGCAGGAGGAUGCACGAGGGAAGAGCGUCAGCCCCUGUAUUCACCGGCCUCUCCCUGAGUCCCUCCUCCAUCACCACCCACAGACCCUCACACUACAGAGGUGAGUAAGCAGGGAUGGUUCUGUCAUCCCUGGCUGAGCUGCUGACUGGCUGCUCCUGAAAAUCCUGGUUGCCUCCACAGGGACCCCAGGAAAGGUAUCCAGAACCAUGGAGUCCCACUGCUGUCUGCUCCUCGCCCAGCGUAGAGAUGGAGCUGAACUGUGAACCCAGGCCGAGAAAGCCAGCUCGGGCAGGGCCAGCAUGGGCAUCUCCUGAGACCCCACCGGAAGCCCUGGACACCGUCCAUUCUCAUGACACGGGACUGAGGGAGCAGGAGGGAGUGACAACAGGAGUGCAUCCACCUCCUCCUCAGGCUUGAGCGAGUGCCACUGGGCGAUGGGCCUCCGGGGGUUGGCCAGCAUGUCGGACCAGUGCCGCAGCUCUGUGCCCGUGGCAUUGCUGCCCACGAAGAUCUUGCCUAUGGCUUCGUUCUUGCCCAGCUUGUCAUAGUCCAGCACGGUGACCACUACCUGGACUUUCUGC